rnacentral:rRNA from 1 species
UAACCUACGGGAGGCAGCAGUGGGGAAUAUUGGACAAUGGGGGAAACCCUGACCCAGCGACGCCGCGUGAGUGAAGAAGUAUUUCGGUAUGUAAAGCUCUAUCAGCAGGGAAGAAAAUGACGGUACCUGACUAAGAAGCCCCGGCUAACUACGUGCCGGCAGCCGCGGUAAUACGUAGGGGGCAAGCGUUAUCCGGAUUUACUGGGUGUAAAGGGGGCGCAGACGGCAAUGCAAGCCAGGAGUGAAAGCCCGGGGCCCAACCCCGGGACUGCGCUUGGAACGGCAUGGCUGGAGUACAGGAGGGG